rnacentral:lncRNA from 1 species
UCUCUUUGUUCUUACAGGCUUCAUCUGCCCCCGGGGAAGAACACAGAUCCUACUGCUGUGGAGUUGGGGGUGAGGACAGCAGCCUGUUUCUCUUACAGAGACAUCCAUGUUCUAUGAGCAGAGUUUUAGGCAAAGGAAACAAGAAGUAAUAUUUUCUAUAAAGAUAAAAUGAGAAAGCUGCCAAGAUUUUUAACUAUCCCUUCUCCAGAUCAGAAUACUCAUCAGCUCAAAAACCAAGAGGAAAUCUUGAGGAUCCUUAACUAUGGUAUGGUCUUCUACUUCUCCAUCGAAUUUCCCAUAUCUUAGCAUUAUGUUAUAGGAGCAACAGAAUAAUCUCCAUGUGUGCAAGAAUGCUACUCAAGGCCUUGGACACAUCCUGGAGAUCCAUGUCAUGGCUCCAACCCUUAGCAGCUGUUUGAUUCCACGAGCCUGUUUUCCUGUCGGGAAGGGGCAUCUGAAGGCAGGGCUCCUGUCCUGGGACGGACGCAUCAUCGUUUCCAGCUCUGUCCCAGAUGCAAGAACCUGGAUGCCAAAUCCAUCCUCUCUGGGUGAAGUGGGAAUGUGUGAGGACGACAGGUCUAAGUCCAAAUUAAAUAAAAAGACACACUCACAGAAAAG